AACGAACGCUGGCGGCGCGCCUAAUACAUGCAAGUCGAGCGAGAAGACGUAGCAAUACGUUUGUAAAGCGGCGAACGGGUGAGGAAUACAUGGGUAACCUACCCUCGAGUGGGGAAUAACUAGCCGAAAGGUUAGCUAAUACCGCGUACGCUCCUUGGACUUCGGUUCAGGGAGGAAAGCGAUACCGUGGGUAUCGCGCUCUUGGAUGGGCUCAUGUCCUAUCAGCUUGUUGGNGAGGUAACGGCUCACCAAGGCUUCGACGGGUAGCUGGUCUGAGAGGACAAUCAGCCACACUGGCACUGCGACACGGGCCAGACUCCUACGGGAGGCAGCAGUAAGGAAUAUUGCGCAAUGGGCGAAAGCCUGACGCAGCGACGCCGCGUGGGGGAGUGAAGGUCUUCGGAUUGUAAACCCCUUCCGGGAGGGAAGAUGGAACGAGCAAUCGUUCGGACGGUACCUCCAGAAGCAGCCGCGGCUAACUUCGUGCCA
rnacentral:rRNA from 1 species